rnacentral:rRNA from 1 species
GAUGAACGCUAGCGGCGGGCUUAAUACAUGCAAGUCGAGGGGCAGCACGAUGUAGCAAUACAUUGGUGGCUAGCGGCGGACGGUUGCGUAACACGUAAGCAACUUGCCGUAUACUGGGGGAUAGCCCGACGAAAUUCGGAGUAAUACCCCAUAACAUCAGAACAAGCAUUUCUUUUGGUUUAAAACCACGGGGGUAUUGGAAGGGCAUGCGUUCGUUUAGCUUGUUGGUGAGGUAACGGCUCACCAAGGCGCCGCUCGAUAGGGGUCCCGAGAGGGUGAUCCCCCACACUGGUACUGAGACACGGACCAGACUCCUACGGGAGGCAGCAGUAAGGAAUAUUGGUCAAUGGGCGAAAGCCUGAACCAGCCACGCCGCGUGAAGGAAGACGGCCCUAUGGGUUGUAAACUUCUUUUGUACGAGAAUAAACCUCAGGACGUGUCCUGAGCUGAAGGUACCGUACGAAUAAGGAUCGGCUAACUCCGUGCCAGCAGCCGCGGUAAAAC